rnacentral:rRNA from 1 species
AUUGAAAGCUGGCGGCAGGCCUAACACAUGCAAGUCGAGCGGAGCGGCGGACGGGUGAGUAAUGCCUAUGAAUCUGCCUGGUAGUGGGGGAUAACGUCCGGAAACGGGCGCUAAUACCGCACACUAUCAGAUGAGCCUAGCUCGGAUUAGCUAGUUGGUGGGGUAAAGUCCUACCAAGGCGACGAUCCGUAACUGGUCUAAGAGGAUGAUCAGUCACAUUGGAACUGAGACACGGUCCAGCGUCCUACGAGAGGCAGCGGUGGGUAAUAUUGGACAAUAGGCGAAAGCCUGGUCCAGCCAUGCCGCGUGUGUGAAGAAGGUCUUCGGAUUGUAAAGGUCUUAAAGUUGGGAGGCGUUACCAUCAGAAUAAGCACCGGCUAACUUCGUACCAGCAGCCGCGGUAAUUC